ACAGCCGUUGCACACGAGUAAGUAGUCGAUCCUAAGCCCUAAGAGAAAUCUUAUGUUGAUGUGAAGUACAUUUUUUUUUAUAAUUAUAAUAAAAUAAUUCUACUUCCAUUUGGGCGAAAGGGAAUCUGGUU
rnacentral:rRNA from 1 species